AGGGUCUGUCUGUCUGUCUGAUGCUUUUGCCGGGGACAGAAUGGAGUCUUAGAACUUAGAUAACAGAACUGUCAGAAACAGAUACUCUCAGCAAGCAUCUACCAUCAUUAACUAUAAUGCCUCGCCUAGCACUUGGAAGAUACUCUUCAACAGAGUUAAUGGGCGCCCUGCAAAGUUUGCCCAAGAAGAUAAGUGCUGAUAUUAACAGAUGAGAUGUGUCUUAUGGGAUCACUUCCAGGAAACCUGGUGGCCAUUCUGGAAUCCUGAAAAAUAUGCCAUGGCCAUCUGAUCAGGAGUUGCCACAAGAGUCAACAUUAGCCAGGAAUUCUGGUGGCAAGUGUUAUCCAGGCUUGGAAGGUGUGCACCAAAGACAGAGGAGCAAUGAAUGGUCAAUUUGACCCUAUAUUUACAAACAUGUUCAUCAAGUGCCAUAUGGACAAAACAGUUCCUGGUAAAAAUUUGGACAACAAUUAACAUAAGCACUGCAGGAGAUCCCAACUGUUGGCCUCUAAAAAGAAGUUAAUCAAUGGCAUAUGUGUUUAUUUAUCCCAACAUUCCCUUUUAAUUAACAGUUCUGAAAGGUGUACUUGGUUAUGACUAUUGUGUUCUAAUAAAACGGAGAAAUUCUAAAUAGGUUCAGUGAAGUUUCAGUUCAAAACAUAUUAAAUAAAAUAUUUCUAGGAAAAAAAUCUGCUAAGGAGUUAUCUCAUCAUGAAUAACAUUUAUUCUGGCCUCAAUUAAUACUAGAGAUUAGCCAGAGUAGUGAAGUUUAUAUUCAGAUCUAGAAUCAGAUUUUAGUGCAAUGUUCCCUGAAGUGCAGAGUGCUUGGGUUGGUGCUCCAGCUCGGUCCAUUUUAGAAAUGUUUGAUUGUAAAGUUUGUGUCUGUAGUUCAGAAUUUCAAGAAGGGAAAGGAAUGAGAUGUCAAAUUCUGUGUUCUGGUUUGAGCCUAUCUGUGACAGAAUAUACGUCUGUGUUUGCAGCCUACACACUAUUGUCAUUGUUUUGGUACAAGGCAAGCCUUGUGAGGUAUCAUUAAAAACUCAUAAUUGCUUAUCAAUAAUACCAUGGCAAAAUGCAUGUAAUAGAGUUAUAUGUGAAGUUUUAAACAUAAAUUGAGAUCAUGACUAAAAGUAUGUUUCUAGAGAAGUCUGGGAAAAGGCCAAAAGGCCAGUUUCUUGAGACAAAGAGUAAGCUGUCUCAGCCAGGUAUAAACAAGACUGAUGGACCAUUACCAGUUAACUGGCCAUUCUUUGUCAGGAAAGGGGGCAUGGAUGAAAAAUCUACAUUUUAGCAAAGAGUUUCCUUCCACAUAAACUGCCUGUCACCUUGCUUCCAGCUGGAAAUUCUCAAUGGGGAGGGACAAACACCCCAAGGCACCUUCCCCCACCCCCACUCAUCACAUUCAUUGCACCUGAGGCAACAACAGAAGCCUUCAUUGGACUCUGGGAGAAGGAGUCAUUAAGAUUGCUGAGA